AUGCAUUUGCUGCGUCUCAGACGUGCUCUUUCGGCAGGACAUAGCCCAGGGUUUUUGGCUGCGGCAGGCUGCCUGUUUUCCAACAUCCAAUCGAGCCAGACCUGGAAUAGGGAUAUACGUGUGAACGGAGUUGCUGCGGCUGAGCAGCACUGGACGAGUGAGAUGAUAUGUAAAUCUAACAGCCUCCAUGUCAGACACGGACUUCGGGUCACUGAGUUUAGGCUCCGCGAGUUCAAGAAAACACUUCAACAAUGGCGUAGCAAAUGGCUGUUACAUUAUCAGACCCCAAGGAGGCUUUUCUGCGUAAACCUGCUGACCCUGUGCAGGCACGACAUGCCCGUCUGACUGUAAUAAACCCCCCGUAGGGGCUGGAUGUGGGGGCCCA
ensembl:lncRNA